rnacentral:ncRNA from 1 species
UGCGAUGAGUCGAGUAACCAUUUUAAAAUGGUGAAAGCACAGCUGACGCGGCGCAAGCCACCCGCCGGAUUUGCGGGGUCAGUGGGCACAGGUUGUGGAGCC